GCUGGGACGCCGGCGCGCGCCUCCUGCUCUAGGGAGGAAGGCGGGGGCCCGGAACGGCGGGGUGGCUCGCGCUCGCGCUGCAGGGAUCCAGCCCCUGAGCGGAGCGGGGCAGGGGGCGGCUGGCACAGCCUGGCUUCUGCACUACGCGGGCCAGUGGCGGUGACUGCAGCGCGGGGGGAGCCCACGUGACAUGUCGGGGAGCGGAACUCUCGCCGGGGCAGCCCCAGCCGCCCUCUCCUGCUGCACAGCCCUCGGCGCCGGGGGCCGUCUCAGCAGAAAGGAGCGGGCUGGGCGGCGUUGGAGUGUGUCCGCUCACACGAGCUCAAUCCAUCAGCGUCUUACUCUGGGGCUUGGCUUAAACUUUGGUGUUAGGCAGGGCAGCUUUAGGGGCAGGUGCUGGGCGGGGGCUUUUUUUCUUUUCUUAACAGCAAAAGGGAGACUAGGAUGUCGGAAGUAACAUGUUUCAGAUGCCAAAGGUCUGACCGGAUCAAUGGACCACAAGCACAAAUAUGAUGUUGAUGAAGGACUCAGGUCUGGAGCACCCACGAAGUUAGAGCCUAUGUUCAACACUAACUGUUGUGACCAAGAGGCACAAAAGAUGAAUUCCUACUUCCUUCAUCCAGGAAACAUACCACAAAGAUUGUGUCAAAUCCUUAGUGAUGAUGAAGAAAUUGAAUCAAUCCUUCAUUCAUUCAUCAUAUGAUAUUUCAUUCUGUGUUCAAAUUCUCUAUUCUGUCCUUAUCACAUAGCAAAUCCAUUGCUGGUAGUGCCUCACUCCAUUCGACUGUUUGUUUUAUAAGACAGGCAUCUAUAAAAGCUACAUAGAGGUUGAGUAGAAUCCAGAAAUUGCAGUUGUAGAUCUGUAAGAAUCAAAUCCAUGUAUUUGUGCAGCUGCCUUAACAAACACUUCUUGUCCUCUUAAUUAAUCAAUAGAAGUGCCUUAAUUAAUCAACUUGUGAACGGAAGUCUUUGCUUUUUCCAGUACAUUUUCAAUCAGUUAUACUGUCAUCCAAAUGUAGCUUUUACUGCUGGGCAAAGAUCUACUAUUGUGCUUUGUGCGCUCCCUCUGCAUCCAAUCAAAGCACUGCUACAGUUCAGUCAGCACAUCCUGCAAAUUCUAGGUACAUACGGGCAGUUAACCAAAAUGUUCUCCCAAAAUAGUGUAGUUUUGCUAUGACUAUCUUGCGGCCUACUGGGACCACUCAUGCAGCCCACUUACUAGCCCAGGUCACCUAUUGCUGAACAAAUCUAACCAAGGCUGCCAACAGUUGGAAGAAGCAAGACUGAGGGAUUACUGACUAAGGGGAUGGUUGUGCAGAACAGGCAAUUGCCUGGUGCAUCCAUGACUGAGAAAAACCUAGGAAGGAGGCUGACUAAAGAGGCUUGGGAAAGUAAGCAGAAAACCCUGCCUCUUGUGUCUUCCUUGGGGAAAUAGGCCUUUGUAUGUUCCUUGUAAAUAAAUGGGGGGGAGGGGACAAAUCAAAUAAAAGUACCUAUCCCUCACUCCCACGUAACUAGGGUAACCUGCAACACAUCAAAUUUGACCUGAGUGGCUAGGCAAAUCAUUCUGAAGAAGUGGGUUGUGCCCACAAAAUCUCAUGAUACCAUCUACGUGUUUUGUUAGUCUUUAAGGUGCUACUAGACUACUUGUUUUUUAAGUUUUUCCUGUUACAGACUAACUCAGCUACCCCUCUGGAGCUUAAUGGCAUAAAUAGUCCCUCAUCCAAUCCAGUAUUGCAUCUCUAAUCGUGGCAUUUAUCAGAUCUGCCACAGGAAUGAUCCACCUUUUCUUACAUGGGCUCCAUAUAUGAUUUUCCCCAAACUAAUCCUCCCCCAAAACAUCCAAGUCCUUUAGAUAAUUCCCAGGAUGCAUCAAAAUAGUUGCUUUGGAAAUCAGUGUAAUGGUUUAUAAGGCAUACAUAGCAGCAGCAGACAACGGUAACUAAAUACACUAAUUUCAGUGAAAAUUACAAAUAACUAAAUCAGUUCAUUGCAGUGAAAGUUAGGCACCCAUGACUACUUGCUAAGAAAGCCUCCGAAGAUACAAGCUACUGUUUCAGAGGGAGGCAAACUAAUAAUCCAGUGAAACACACCAUACUUCUAAAAUACCCUUUACUGUGGUCAUGUUAUUUAUUUUUGCCCUGAUGAUAACUGUUGCACAAUAAUGUGCUGUUUUACUCACCCUUCAUCUUGAUGACAUUAGAAAUAAGGAAAGCGAAGUUAUAGAAAAAAUGGAUAUGCAGUACAUAUUGGGACAUUUAACUUUUCCAUUCAAAGCAGACAUUUAACUACACUACUUUGUAUGAAGAAUACAGAUUUGGGGAAAGUACACUCACAACAUCUACCCUAGGGAGAGUAAAAUUGAAUUGUCUGGGGAUUUUUAACAAUCUGUUACUCAGUUAAUGAGAGAAAAUUAAAGGGUUUUAAAGGCAUUUUUUCAUAUCACUUUUUAAAAUGUAUACCUUGCUAACAGCUGGUUUGCAUCAGUCACACUUUUCACAAAAUCAUUGCUAGUAUUCUUCAAACAUACCUUCAAAGAAAUUAGGUUGCAAAUCAGCAAAGCUAUUGUUUUUUCUCCCAUCUUUUCCAUUAUAUUAAUAAUUCUCCCACAUUAGAAAAAUCUGCUACUUCUUAUAGUGUUUAAAAACGUAAUAGGAUUGAAGCUACCCAGUAGGAUUAAAAUUGAUUUGGAGAGAAGAAGAGAUCAUUUAAGCUGCAUCUCCAUGGGUAGAUACUUAUAACAACAGACCCCAAGCAUCUGUGAACAACCACGUGGAUAACCUCAAAACAGGCUACCCCACCAAACAUGGCCACAAGCUUGGAACUAAGUCACUUGGUUGAUGCCGAGCAGCCACCAGGGUGCAGCACGAAGGGGAAACCAGAGGCCCCUAUUUUUAUGGUGAUGUCAUUGACAGGCUCCCCAGCAUCAGGAACAUACACAUCAUAUGCUCAAAUAGGGAAGGCAGAGAUGGACCCUGCUAAUUCCACAUCCAUAUCCAAGUAGCACCUUUCAACCCCACUGCACACAAUAGCACUUCUUCAUACUCCACAUGCCACAGGGAAAUUCAGGAUGCUCCCUGACCACCU